UGAGUAACCUGCCCUUAACUCUGGGAUAAGCCUGGGAAACUGGGUCUAAUACCGGAUAUGACUCCUCAUCGCAUGGUGGGGGGUGGAAAGCUUUAUUGUGGUUUUGGAUGGACUCGCGGCCUAUCAGCUUGUUGGUGAGGUAAUGGCUUACCAAGGCGA
rnacentral:rRNA from 1 species